AACGUAGGUGGCAAGCGUUAUCCGGAUUUACUGGGCGUAAAGGGUGUGCAGGCGGGGGUGCAAGUGGGGUGUGAAAUCUCCCGGCUUAACCGGGAGGGGUUAUGCCAGACUGCAAUUCUAGAGGACGAGAGAGGGGGGUGGAAUUCCGGGUGUAGUGGUGAAAUGCGUAGAGAUCCGGAGGAACCCCAGAGGCGAAGGCGGCCCCCUGGCUCGUACCUGACGCUCAGCCACGAAAGCAUGGGGAGCGAACGGG
rnacentral:rRNA from 1 species